CACCGGAGAAGACGCCACACCCGAGAGCACCGCCGCCGGUAAGUCUCAGUUUUUCAUAAUUUUUUGGCCUACCGAGGACCCUAUGGUUGUUUUAUCGUAGGAACCUAUGCAAGUUUGGCCGAAUUCGGCCGAAAACGGCCAACCCGAGGCAGAUCGCUGCCGCAGAUGGCGGUACCGUCGCUGGAGAAUUCCAAUAUUGGCCGAAAAGGGGCCUGGGUCUGAUUUGGGAUUUUUUUGGGACAUGUACAGGUACCGGUAGUGUAUUUCAGUUUUCCGACAAAAAAUUCAGGGAAUUUAGGGACAGC
rnacentral:lncRNA from 1 species